GACGAACGCUGGCGGCGUGCCUAAUACAUGCAAGUAGAACGCUGAAGCGAGGAGCUUGCUCUUCUUGGAUGAGUUGCGAACGGGUGAGUAACGCGUAGGUAACCUGCCUUGUAGCGGGGGAUAACUAUUGGAAACGAUAGCUAAUACCGCAUAACAAUGGAUGACACAUGUCACUUAUUUGAAAGGGGCAAUUGCUCCACUACAAGAUGGACCUGCGUUGUAUUAGCUAGUAGGUGAGGUAAUGGCUCACCUAGGCGACGAUACAUAGCCGACCGGAGAGGGUGAUCGGACACACUGGGACUGAGACGCGGCCCAGACACCUACGGGAGGCAGCAGGAGGGAAUCUACGGCGAUGGGGGCAACCCUGACCGAGCAAGGCCGCGUGAGUGAGGAAGGUUGUCGGAUCGUAAAGCUCUGUUGUAAGUCAAGAACGGGUGUGAGAGUGGAAAGUUCACACUGUGACGGUAGCUUACCAGAAAGGGACGGCUAACUACGUG
rnacentral:rRNA from 1 species